UGAGGAAUAUUGGUCAAUGGGCGAGAGCCUGAACCAGCCAAGUCGCGUGAAGGAAGACAGUCCUAAGGAUUGUAAACUUCUUUUAUACGGGAAUAACGGGCGAUACGAGUAUUGCAUUGAAUGUACCGUAAGAAUAAGCAUCGGCCAACUCCGUGCCAGCAGCCGCGGUAAUACGGAGGAUGCGAGCGUUAUCCGGAUUUAUUGGGUUUAAAGGGUGCGUAGGUUGUUCGGUAAGUCAGCGGUGAAACCUGAGCGCUCAACGUUCAGCCUGCCGUUGAAACUGCCGGGCUUGAGUUCAGUGGCGGCAGGCGGAAUUCGUGGUGUAGCGGUGAAAUGCAUAGCUAUCACGAGGAACUCCGAUUGCGAAGGCAGCUUGCCAUACUGCGACUGACACUGAAGCACGAAGGCGUGGGUAUCAAACAGG
rnacentral:rRNA from 1 species